GGAUACAAGGGCAAUCUGGCUGUGACAUUUGUCACUCCAUUGAUCGGCAGGGUUGAUUUGGCUGAUCUGGCUGGCUAGGGAGGUGUCCCCUUCCUCCCUUACUGCUCUAUGUACCUGUGUCCCUCCCUGAAGCUACAUGCUUGAUGGAAGAAGAUGACCUUCCCUGAUACAGGGAAGGACUGUUCUUGAGGCAAGGGCAUACAAGUAGCUGCACUCCUCUGCUAGAACCCCCAAACAAGCUCUCAGGGUCCAUUGUUAGAACGUAGGGUAGUCAAGUUUCCAAGACUCCAGGCAAGUCCAAAUGAUGUUAUAGAAUAUUGGAAGUUUGCUUUUUUUU
ensembl:misc_RNA 7SK 7SK RNA